AACGAACGCUGGCGGCAUGCCUAACACAUGCAAGUCGAACGAGACCUUCGGGUCUAGUGGCGCACGGGUGCGUAACGCGUGGGAACCUGCCCUUAGGUUCGGAAUAACUCCCCGAAAGGGGUGCUAAUACCGGAUAAUGUCUUCGGACCAAAGAUUUAUCGCCUUUGGAUGGGCCCGCGUUGGAUUAGCUAGUUGGUAGGGUAAAAGCCUACCAAGGCGACGAUCCAUAGCUGGUCUGAGAGGAUGAUCAGCCACACUGGGACUGAGACACGGCCCAGACUCCUACGGGAGGCAGCAGUGGGGAAUAUUGUACAAUGGGCGAAAGCCUGAUCCAGCAAUGCCGCGUGAGUGAGGAAGGCCUUAGGGUUGUAAAGCUCUUUUACCCGGGAUGAUAAUGACAGUACCGGGAGAAUAAGCACCGGCUAACUCCGUG
rnacentral:rRNA from 1 species